rnacentral:rRNA from 1 species
AGAGUUUGAUCAUGGCUCAGGAUGAACGCUAGCUACAGGCUUAACACAUGCAAGUCGAGGGGCAGCAUGUUGGUUGCUUGCAACCAAUGAUGGCGACCGGCGCACGGGUGAGUAACGCGUAUCCAACCUACCCUUGUCCAUCGGAUAACCCGUCGAAAGGCGGCCUAACACGAUAUGCGGUUCACAGCAGGCAUCUAAGGUGAACGAAAUGUGAAGGAGAAGGAUGGGGAUGCGUCUGAUUAGCUUGUUGGCGGGGUAACGGCCACAAGGCUACGAUCAGUAGGGGUUCUGGAGAGGAACGGUCCCCCACAUUGGAACUGAGACACGGUCCAAACUCCUACGGGAGGCA